rnacentral:rRNA from 1 species
UACAGAGGUCUCAAGCGUUGUUCGGAUUCAUUGGGCGUAAAGGGUGCGUAGGCGGCGGGGUAAGUCAGGUGUGAAAUCUCGGGGCUCGAACUCCGAAACUGCACUUGAUACUGCCUUGCUAGAGUAUUGGAGAGGAGAUUGGAAUUUACGGUGUAGCAGUGAAAUGCGUAGAUAUCGUAAGGAAGACCAGUGGCGAAGGCGAAUCUCUGGACAAUUACUGACGCUGAGGCACGAAGGCCAGGGGAGCAAACGGG